AACGGAAAGGCCCUGCUUGCAGGGUACUCGAGUGGCGAACGGGUGAGUAACACGUGGGUGAUCUGCCCUGCACUUCGGGAUAAGCCUGGGAAACUGGGUCUAAUACCGGAUAGGAGCCAUUUUUAGUGUGAUGGUUGGAAAGUUUUUUCGGUGUAGGAUGAGCUCGCGGCCUAUCAGCUUGUUGGUGGGGUAAUGGCCUACCUAGGCGGCGACGGGUAGCCGGCCUGAGAGGGUGUACGGCCACAUUGGGACUGAGAUACGGCCCAGACUCCUACGGGAGGCAGCAGUGGGGAAUAUUGCACAAUGGGCGCAAGCCUGAUGCAGCGACGCCGCGUGGGGGAUGAAGGCCUUCGGGUUGUAAACUCCUUUCGCUAGGGACGAAGCUUUUUUGUGACGGUACCUAGAUAAGAAGCACCGGCUAACUACGUGCCAGCAGCCGCGGUAAUACGUAGGGUGCGAGCGUUGUCCGGAAUUACCGGGCGUAAAGGGCUCGUAGGUGGUUUGUCGCGUCGUCUGUGAAAUUCUGGGGCUUAACUCCGGGCGUGCAGGCGAUACGGGCAUAACUUGAGUGCUGUAGGGGUAACUGGAAUUCCUGGUGUAGCGGUGAAAUGCGCAGAUAUCAGGAGGAACACCGAUGGCGAASGCAGGUUACUGGGCAGUUACUGACGCUGAGGAGCGAAAGCAUGGGUAGCGAACAGGAUUAGAUACCCUGGU
rnacentral:rRNA from 1 species